UAACUCUUCUGUAGGCAGAGAAAAUUAAACAAUAUCUGACAGUUCUCCAAGAUGGCAAACAAAUGUCUUCCCUGCCCAGCUGAGUCAGUCAAGUGACAAGAACCACUGUAGAAGAAAUGAAAGACUUUGAUCACCAUGAAAAACACUCAUGAUUUUGGAUUUCCUUAGCCAUUAGUUUGAAACAAGUCAACGUGGCUCUCAAAAAAUUUAAUUGUGAGGAGAUGCCUGUGUAAAGUGGUACUAACGAGCAACAAGCUGAAAAGUUGAAUGACUGCAUUGGUCCCAGGCAGAAGAUAAAUGGAACAUCAUCUUUGAAAUUUCUAAGUUUGCUUUGGAGGUUGUCAGGUAGGUACUUUCCAUCCUUGUACUUUUUUUUUUUUUUUUGGUAAUUUCUAAAACUAAAAAUUAAAAUAGAUCAAUGACAAUUAGAAACAAACAAACUCCUAGCAAGCUUCUCCUUCCAAAACUUUCUCAUAUAAA
rnacentral:lncRNA from 1 species